UACGUAGGGGCGAGCGUUGUCCGAAGUUACUGGGCGUAAAGCGCGCGUAGGCGGCCACUUAAGUCUGGGGUGAAAGGUUCAGCGCUCAACGCGAACAGUGCCUUGGAUACUGGGUGGCUUGAGUCUGGGAGAGGGUAGUGGAAUUCCUGGUGUAGCGGUGAAAUGCGUAGAUAUCAGGAGGAACACCGGUGGCGAAGGCGCUACCUGGCCGUAAGACUGACGCUGAGGUGACGAAAGCAUGGGUAGCGAACAGG
rnacentral:rRNA from 1 species